rnacentral:tRNA from 1 species
GGUCACGGAGCUGAUUAGCGCUAAUUUUUUGCAUUAGAGGUGUGGUGGCUA